UUCUGCCACCGAAUACAUUAGCAUGGGAUAAUGGAAUAGGACCCUGUCCUCCUAUUUUCAGUUGGUUUUGGCAGCGCGAGGACUAGGGUAAUGAUUAAUAGGGAUAGUUGGGGGCAUUAAUAUUUAAUUGUCAGAGGUGAAAUUCUUGGAUUUAUGAAAGAUUAACUUCUGCGAAAGCAUCUGCCAAGGAUGUUUUCAUUAAUCAAGAACGAAAGUUAGGGGAUCGAAGACGAUCAGAUACCGUCGUAGUCUUAACCAUAAACGAUGCCGACCAGCGAUUAGGAGACGUUGAAUACAAAACACCACCAUCGGCGCGGUCGUCCUUGGCGUCUCGGUCCUUCACGGGGCCGGGGCGCGGGGGCGGCUUAGCCCGGUGGCACCGGUGAAUGACUCCCUAGCAGCUUGUGAGA
rnacentral:rRNA from 1 species